UCAAAACCUCGGGGCUGGGUGAAAUUCCCAACCGGCGGUGAUACGCAUACGGCUAAUUGGCCGCUGGCGUUUAGUCCGUGACCCGACCGCAGGAAAGGGCAGCGUUCGUUUGCUGCAUGCGGGCGGUGGACCCGGUGCAAAUCCGGGACCGACAGUAUAGUCUGGAUGGGAGAGGGAGACG
rnacentral:ncRNA from 2 species